GGGGGUGACUUGGCUUCGACGCCGGUUACAAAACCUGAGGUGCAUGUCGAGAGGGUAGUGACUCUCGUAAAUCAAUCACUGUAACUUUUAUAGUUGCCAACGACGAAAACUACGCACUAGCUGCCUAAACAUUUCUUUUUAAGAAAAGCUUAGGAAUUUAGCUUAACCCGGGGCGGAUGUGCCCAUGUAUUCAAACCGGGUGCUCGACUCAUGGGACCGCUGCCAGACCCCGCUUGUGGUUAAAGCAGUUAAAUAUGAAGCAAGCUCGCCUUUCGAUCCCUGUUUGUCGGGCCAGCGGAAGGUUAAAUAGUAGACAAACUAAACAUGUAGAGCUGAUGGCGGAGAACUGACGGACCCGGGUUCAAUUCCCGGCACCUCCACCA
rnacentral:tmRNA from 1 species